UACAGAGGUCUCAAGCGUUGUUCGGAUUCAUUGGGUGCGUAAAGGGUGCGUAGGCGGCGUGGUAAGUCGGGUGUGAAAUCUCGGAGCUUAACUCCGAAACUGCAUUCGAUACUGCCGUGCUUGAGGACUGGAGAGGAGACUGGAAUUUACGGUGUAGCGGUGAAAUGCGUAGAUAUCGUAAGGAAGACCAGUGGCGAAGGCGGGUCUCUGGGCAUCUCCUGACGCUGAGGCGCGAAAGCGUGGGGAGCAAACGGG
rnacentral:rRNA from 1 species